rnacentral:rRNA from 1 species
GUCUGCCUUAUCAACUUUCGAUGGUAGGUUACGCGCCUACCAUGGUCAUAACGGGUAACGGGGAAUCAGGGUUCGAUUCCGGAGAGGGAGCCUGAGAAACGGCUACCACAUCCAAGGAAGGCAGCAGGCGCGCAAAUUACCCACUCCCAGAACGGGGAGGUAGUGACGAAAAAUAACAAUACGGGACUCUUUUGAGACCCCGUAAUUGGAAUGAGUACACUCUAAAUCCUUUAACGAGGAUCUAUUCGAGGGCAAGUCUGGUGCCAGCCGCCGCGGUAAUUCCAGCUCCAAUAGCGUAUAUUAAAGUUGUUGCGGUUAAAAAGCUCGUAGUUGGAUCUCAGUUCCAGACGGGUGGUCCGCCAAACGGUGGUUACUGCCCGUUCUGAACAGCCAGCCGGUUUCUCUUGAUGAUCUUCACCGGUUGUCUCGGGUGACCGGCAAGUUUACUUUGAAAAAAUUAGAGUGCUCAAAGCAGGCGCGACGCCUGAAUAAUGGUGCAUGGAAUAAUGGAAUAGGACCUCGGUUCUAUUUUGUUGGUUUUCGGAACACGAGGUAAUGAUUAAGAGGGACAGACGGGGGCAUUCGUAUUGCGACGCUAGAGGUGAAAUUCUUGGACCGUCGCAAGACGAACUACUGCGAAAGCAUUUGCCAAGAAUGUUUCCAUUAAUCAAGAACGAAAGUUAGAGGUUCGAAGGCGAUCAGAUACCG